UUAUUGCUUUUCAGUUACUCCUCUCUCAUACUCAAGUAUUUGCAAUUCCUCUGUGCUUAUUUCUGAUUAUUUCAUAUCUCAGAUUUAGAUAUUUCUAUUCAAAGCCCUUUAAUGUGGUGGUUUUUCACCUUAGAUUUUAUGCAGCUACUUCCUUUUGUUUGUGUGUGGUUUUUUCCUUCCUGUUUUGCUUUCCAUUACAUUUAUGUAUUAGACAUUUGAUAGUUCUUCACUGCAGACAGAUGAUAAAGGUUGUGUUAUUCUGACAGUAUUGCUUAACACAGAAUUUACAUUGAGCUGUUUUACACCUUCAGUUUAGCACCUUAGUCUUACUUUGCAGAACCACUUUGAAAAAUAAUUUAUGGUAAUGCUGUCUGUCCUGUCACGCUUUGUCCCCUCCCUGAGAAACUGUUUAUCAGUGGGGAUGAUCAGCAGCUUGCUGGAGAUAUUCCUGGUUGCUGUGACUCAGCAAAGUGCUUCGCUCUUUAGUCUGUAUUCUACUUUAUCCAUUUGCAGAAGUGGACAAAGGCAUCCUUCUGCAUAAAAGAAUGUUUUAAUCUGAAACACUGGGUUGCUUUCCUUUUUUUUUUUUUUUUUUUUAAAUUUAAGGUAAACAAUUCCUUAGAAUGAGGAAUUGAAAGUAAGCAGCUGAGGCAGAGCUGGAGUGGCUGCAUAUAAGUCACAUGCUGUUCUGUUGCAUGUGCAGGCUGUUAAAUUUUAUCUGCUCUUAAAAUCUUGCUAAGGCAAAGCGCUUUUUCAGUUUGCUAAAGAAAAGUGCCUUUUAUUCCUGGUAAGCUGGUGGGACUGGCCAGCUGCAUUCCCUUUUCAGAGAUAAGGACUUAUCAUCUGCCAUCACCCCCAAGAGAGGCAGCAGCGUUUUGGGGAGCUUCACCAGGACCAGUAAGCAGAAUGCAGUGUAUUUAGGAUGCAAGUACUUAGGUUGAGUACCAUCAGGAGGACUUCCUGGUGGUAAUAGAUGAUGAACUGGUCUGGUCUUUCAGAGCCAGUGGGAGAUUUGAUGCUGUUCUUCCAGGGGACCAUGCAUCAGGCCUGAGGCUGGGCAGCCCUGCGAGGGCUCAGGGACAAGUGACAAAGGCUCCAUCACUUGGAGGAGUUUGAAUUGGGGUGAAUGAGACUGUGCCAGUACCCCAGGGAGGGCAUAGCUGAUCUCAUGUGCUCUUUCCAGUUUUGGAUUCUCAGGAGAAAAAACAACUGGUCUCAUAGGAGGAAUCAGUGAGAGGUUUCAGUGGAAGCAAGAUUCCACCUUGCCUUGCUUUGGUUUUGGUGCUAAUGGCAUUUUUCCUAACCAGCUGACCACCACAAGUGUUCUUUGCAUUCAAAGCACUAGGGGACACAAUUAUCAGUCCUUAUUCCUAUCCAUCAGAAAAUACUGAAAUAUAAUAUUUCCCUCAUUUUCCAAACAUCUCUCUGGGUCUGUUCAGAAGGAUCUGCAAAGUGGUGUUCAGUGUGCCCGGUUACUUCCUCCACUGAAAUAUCUCCUUCCUUAGAACAGUUCUGCUGUCAUUUUGGUGCAAACAUCACAGGGUAUUUAUCCCAAUUAUACUCCUUUUGUUUUAAAAUAGUUGUGGGGACAGUAAGUUUUCUGGUGGUCUUCAGGUAUCAUUGAACAGCAGCAGGAAAUUCCGUGGAAUUCUUUAAAUUAUUAUUAAAUUAUGCCUGAAAUAGAUUUGUCCUGCACUGUUUUCAGACAAGUUCCUACCAAGAUUUCUUAUACAGGAAGAUGGGUUAAUUUUGUUGAAAAUAAUAUGGCACUUGGAUCCAGCUUUAGACAUCAUAAUAAGUGAAUUUCUUUUAGAAUAGCACUGAAUGCUUUUUACUGCUCUCACAGGGAAAGUAAAUAAUAGAGCAGCUCGAUUCCUUUGGAAAUUGGGCCACUUAUAAAUAGGAGGUGUUCACUGUACCCAGUUCAAUCGUAAGUGUGAAGCCUCAGUUUAAGUAGCUAGUAAACAUGUCCUUUGGGGACCUUUUAAACCUGACAACCUAAUCAUGACAGAUGCAGUUCCAAGUUCAAGAAGUUUCCAGACUGCUGAUUCCUGGAAGCAGCUUGUCAGAGUCUGGACGAAGAGAGGUGAACGGUGUUUGAGAUGGGGUGGAAUUGUCUUCUGGAGGCUCCCAUCCUUCUUUUUCCCAUACGGUUACCUGAGUGUGGUGUAGAUGAGAUACCUCACUUCAAGAUGGUUGAGAGGGAAAAACCUAGGUACAAAUCAGAGCUGGCAUCACUGGAUCAUCUGAGAUCUGCUGUCAUCUUUGCCAAACACGUGCUGUUUAAUAGUGGGGAAAACAGCCUGAAACCCUGAAGAAGAACAUGAAGUGCAAGCACACCUGACUGUGGCUCUGAGGUCUUUCUAUCUGACAUGACGGUCCUGACACACAAGACUUCAGGAGAAACAAAGGGUGAAUAAUUCCAGGAAAACAAAAUAUAGCAAAUGUUUCAUAAUGAGCCACAUGACCCUGAUGUCCUUAAAGCAGCAUGUGGGAUUAUCAGCUAUAAAUGAAAAAUAAGUGGAAUUAGUCAAACAUCAGGAAGUGCUUCCGGAGAGUUUGCUGAGUUCAGCUCCUUCAGCUGCAGACUCCCAAGACGAUAAUGCCAGAUUUUGAGUGUCGCUCUGCCAGCAGUUGUGUGGGCAUCUAACAACAGGGUCUGCUACCAUGGAGAAUGAAGCCCUGUCUGAGAGCACCUGGCAUUCACCACCAAUCAUCAAGGGAACACUGAAAACUGAUUUACAGCAGAGUCCCAUUUCCAGAGAGCUGGAGUUAGAUUAAUUCAUUUCCCAAAUGUAAAACAAACUUUCCAUUCAUCAACACUGAUGUGAUUAGAAGGAGGAGCAAUAAGAUCUGCCUAAUCUAGAGCAAAGACAUUUCCAUUCCUGAAGCUGUCUGUCAGUAACAGUUUCCCAUGAACUGGAUAACGUUAUCUCUAGGCAAAAAACAAUUCCUAAGCUCUCUUGAUUCUGUAGGAAUUACUUUAAAGCAUAAAGGCACAUUGUUUCAAAUCGGUUAAGAAAACUGAAAUCUCCCACUGGUAAAGACAGCGGAAUAUAGUUUCUUGCUCUGAAUCUCUUUAAAGAGUGAUACUUUCCCUUGAUUUGUGAAGGGAAAACUGAGAGUGGCUUUCAGUGCUGGUGGUGCAACACCACCUCCUGCUGCUGCAUCCUACUCUUCUGAAGCCUCAGCCACUGGUGCUUCACUGGGAAGGGAACGAGGCACGACAGAUGAAUGCCAGGAGGGAGCUGCCUCAUUUUUCCCCCACACUGUUGAUUUGACAUGUUCAUACAAGUAUAUCCAGGUCCUUAUCCUUGGCAGAAGUCUACAAGCUGCUGGCAAUCUUCAGAGCACACACUUAAAAUGCCAACUCCUCUUGUGGAGAGGGGAUUUCAGGGAGGGAUGACAUCCAAGUUAGAAGUCUCUCAGGGGCAGUACAGCAUGGUGUUUCUUAAUUUUCUUAAUUUUUUCUAAUCAAAGGGCCACUCAGUGUCCUGGGAGAUCAUAUGCAUGGACCAGCCUCCACACUGCUGACAACAGUUUUCACAUAUAAACAAAAACCUAAUAGGUCACAUAUAGGAUAUUUGGUUUUCACCUUAAAUAGGCAGUACUUUGUGUACUUCCAUGCCUAAGAAUGCAAACAUAUAUUUUAAAAUGUAUCUUUGCCAUCAUUUCACUGACCAAACCCUGAGGCUGAGAGUAAACCAGAAGCUGAGAGGGAGGACUCUCCUGUACCAGCAGAUUGCUGGAAGUGCUUUCCUGUAGCAGCACAGUGGCUCAUGGGGAGUUAUGCGGUUUUCCUAACUGGAUUUUUUCUGGCCCCAUGGCAGGCUGCCUACCUGCCUACCAUGGCAGGUUAAGAUGUGUAACCACUUGCCACCACUUCCCAAGACAGGCUUUUCCUCCCCCACAGAUCUUCCCAGAGAUGGGAAGACACUGGAUGUGCUUUUGACUCCAGCAUUAGCCAGAGUCCAUCUGAACAGGGAUUUCUGUUCCCCAGUAUGUGUUUGAUUGAAUGGAUUGGGAGAUAUCCCACUCCAACACCUCACAGCUUUCUUCUGACCUAGCCAGGCUGCAACAAGCAAAUCCCCAAAUGUUCUGCUAAGUUUCUUAAACUCCCAGUUUUCGAUAUCUAAGGAGAUCUUGAGUUUAAGAUCACUGAUUCAAGAAUAUUGACAUAAGAUUUCCCUUCAAUGACCGUGUUGCACCAGCUCCUGCACUGUCCUGGUCUCUGGGUUCUGCUGCAGUGGGGAAUGCGCUUCUGCUCUACUCUCCGAAAACCACCCAGCCUGUGGGCAGAUGGCAGCAGAUGAAGCCCUGCAAAACCUGACCCUGGAUUCUCUACUCGUUAAUCACUCAGACAGGUUUAACUUGUUUUGUAAGAUGAAGAUUAUUUGAUUUUUUAAAAAGAAGCACCUACGGUUACUUUAACUAUUUCCUACCUUUCCUAUGACAAAAAUCAAUGUUCUCUA